rnacentral:sRNA from 1 species
GGGACCUGCCUUUCAGGCAUCCUCUCCUAAAAACUUCAAAGGCUGGUCUUUGGACCGGCCUUUUUUUUGCCCGGC